rnacentral:lncRNA from 1 species
ACCGCUGGCCGGACCCCCAAGCUAGCCCGCCAGGCCUCCAUAGAGCUGCCCAGCAUGGCUGUGGCCAGUACCAAGAGUCGGUGGGAGACGGGUGAGGUACAGGCUCAGUCUGCGGCCAAGACUCCGUCCUGCAAG